rnacentral:lncRNA from 1 species
AUCAAAGGUGUCAUCAAAGACUCCUUUCAACUUAUGGAACUAUCCUCCCUAAAUUACUGCCCUGAUGAAGCCCUGAUGUUGUGGUGAGGUGACAUGCUGCGAGACCAGCUGAUCCUUAACAAGAGUGUGUGAUAGGGCAGAACAGGCCAGAUGAGAGACAGAAGAUAACCACAAGUAAGCACAGCUCCUACCUUCCUGGUCAUCAACUCAAGGAAGAGAAUAUUUGUGAGGGGAAGAGAAGAUUCAAGAGUCAAAAAGACCUUUGAUGAACAGGCAAGAAAGGCUGAAUAAUGAAAAGACAACCAAAAAAUACUUCAGAUGAGCAGAAAGGUACAGGAAACAUUUAACAACAAAUAAUUUUCAUUGUAGGUAAGAGAGAAUUC